UCUCCAGAGCCAUCCCCAGCAGAGUGCAAAGUGAUGUACUUCUCAUCCAGUGCACGUCAUGGUGAGGGAUGAGGCGUGAGUCACUUCCCCCGUGGGCAGUGGUGACCGACUGCCUCUGCUGCCUGUGGAGCUGCCACACCAGAGCUGGGCGCACGAGGAAUCACCACCUCCCAUCAGCUCUCUGGUGACAACAUGAUGUAAAAGCAGUUUAUUAAGCUGCAAGAUGAAAGACUUUUACAGCUCAUAAAGGAGGAAAGCUCAUAAGAAGACAAGGUUCUAAUUCCAGGACACUGCUGCAUGCAGUUGAGUCUAUGCUGGUCACAGCAGAUUCCUGACACUGUGAGAAAGGAUUCUGCUCUUCUUCUGCUGCAUGGUCUCCAUACAGGCCUCCAAACUGAGCUGAACUUCUGCAAAGCAAGAAAAGACAAACUUUCAUUUAAAAAUAAACAAAAACUUGUUGGAGAGUUACUUUGCCUGUGCCAAGGAAUUUAAACCAUGGGAUUUCACAUCUGAGAUGUUGUUUUCAAGAUUUGAUAUGUUCCCUAAAAGCUCACUGAGGAUUGAGCAAUCUUGGAAGCUUUCUGAAAAAACCCUGUCUGAGAAGAUAAUUAGCCCAAAUUGCAGUAUUUCAUUGCAAUUGUUUAGUGAAGAACUAGAUAACUGCAAACGAACACGAUGAACACAUUAAAAAGAGCAGCAUUGAUGAUUGGACUGAAACCCAGUGGAGAGAGAUUAAUGUGGAACAGAUGGAUUUGCAGCUCAGAAGGUUUGCCAAG